GUGACUGGUUGUAAGAUCUGUCACCCCAUUUAUUGCUGGGAUUGAUUCGGGAGAUCUGGCUGACUGGGUGGUGUCCUCCUCCUC
ensembl:misc_RNA predicted gene, 22561